rnacentral:rRNA from 1 species
UACGUAGGUGGCAAGCGUUGUCCGGAUUUAUUGGGUUUAAAGGGUGCGUAGGCGGUUUCAUAAGUCAGUGGUGAAAUACAAUAGCUUAACUAUUGAGGUGCCAUUGAUACUGCGGAACUUGAGUACAGACGAGGUAGGCGGAAUUGACGGUGUAGCGGUGAAAUGCUUAGAUAUCGUCAAGAACACCGAUAGCGAAGGCAGCUUACUAGACUGUAACUGACGCUGAGGCACGAAAGUGUGGGGAUCAAACAGG